ensembl:lncRNA
GCUCCUGUGCCUAGUUCAAGGAAGAGCUAUUCUGACUGCAUUAGAGGGAAGCUGCAUCACACCGUCAAUAUCUCCUCCACUUAUCUGCUGCAGUGGGGAUAGGAGAGAAAAAGUAACAGCAUAUGGGCCCAGAGAAUGUCUGCAGGAAGGGGAUCCCUAAGUGCUUUACAAGAAGACCCACAGAGCCCUUUCACAGAGAUACUGGUCAGAGCUCCCGAGAAGCCAGAAAUCUGUCCUCCCUCCCCACUUUGUCCUGACCUCAGUGAGACCUGCGGGAGUGCCGAAUGCCAUCGGUGUGUGCACAUGGAGUCCCAGCGCCUGUCCCCAGCGGUGGCUGGUGCCAGCUAUUUCAGAUGCUGUUUACCGACCUGUCGCCGUGAUGUGCGUCUCGCCCGGACGCGCCCGCGGCCGUUGCCGUGCCGGGGCCGGUGAAGAGGCGCUCCUCCCGCAGCCCCUUCCCCGGGGCGGCAGGCCCGUGGGUCCCUCUGUUCCUGACUCCAGGACUGGGUGAGGAGGGACGCUGGACGUGCUGAAGGAUUAUGGUAACCAGUUUGGAAACCGUAACUUGCCUGUUUAACCUUAGAAUGUUUCCGUAAACCUGUCCUCAUAACGGGUGCAGCCUUGUGAAAGGGCUUUGUGUGAUGCCCUCCAGUGGCAACAAUGUGUUCUGCUAUUUUAAAUCAAGAGGGAACAGAAGGGAAUUGGAAAAAGUCAUCCUUUUUGCUCACCCUAAAAGGGUUUGAGGGUGACUCCUUCUAAGCCCAAGGGCCUUUGGGCAGCCCUGGCAAAGUCCCCAGUUAGCUGCUGGGUGAGGUGUACCUGGGGGUAUCCCAUCCUUUGGCAGUUGCUGCUGCUGCAAGCUCUGCAGGGAUACGUAGAUCACUGCUGCAAAUCAGGGCAGCCUGUGGGGUUCAGAUGGCCAAUACCAGAGGUUUAGGCACGAGCUUCUGUCCUUCACGGAGGAUGAAUUUUGCUGUGUGCCAGUAAAUGUGCAGAGUGGAAAGGAACAGGAAGAAAAAUGCCAAGAGGUACCAGGAAAAAUGUAUCUUGCAGCACAUAACUCACUGUCAGAGACAAGGACGUUUUUAACUGUUGUCCUUUCACGUGAUCUAGUUCAGCAGUGAGCCUGAAUUCCUGUAGACAGGGCAGAAAUGAGAACUGGUUUUGCCUCAUCUGAGAGACCCUUCAAUGGAAAGAAAUAGCUCUCGGAUCAACAGCUCAACACAGUUCUCCAAGAUCAGUGCUAUACUUAGGUUUCCAGAUAAACUAAAUACGCUUCAUGUUAUUCUGCCUUGGGGUACCAUGCUGGGCUUGUUAAUGCCCUUUAGUGUCAUUAGGAGACUCCCCUUUUACUGUCAAAUACAGCUUCCAGUUCUGUUCCAGGUUUGGCCCUUACAGUCUCACAGGUGUCCUGCACUUCCCCCUGUCUGGUGGGCUUAUACAGAAAGAUGAGGUUGAUGUGAACUUCCAGCUUGGGUGCUGUACUGGUCUGAUCAGUAGACCCUGUAGUGGAAGUGGUGGCCUCCCUGUAAAGGAUUUAUAUAAAGGUAAUUCACAGUGACAGCUCAUUUUGAAAAAUUGAGGUUGUUCAUGCCUUUUCCUUUGCUGUAUUAAGUGACAGGGUUGGGAUUCCUAAGGGAGGAAGUGCUUGGGUUAUUGCUGACAGGUGAAGCUUUUAUUAAACAGAAACAUGCAAACUCAUUUCCCAUAUUGUUUUUAACCUAGUAGCCAAUUAUUGUUUAUUUGGGGGUUUUUUUUUUCAGAUAUUUCUGUUGCUGCCUUAGCUGUCCUGUACCAUGCCUAGCAAUGAUGACUGCGUCAUAUUCUGCUGAGCAGGCUGCUCCAUACUUAGCCAUCAGACCUGCAUUCUCCAACAGAUUCAUCAGGCUGGCAACGUAGUGAUGGAGCUCUUUGGUACCCGUAGAGUCCCACUCCAAGGGUUUCCAGGCACCUUGCGUUUAGCUCAGAAAAUCUGUCCUUGCAGCAGUCCUGUGAAGGGGUUGUGAAACCCUGGGGACUCCCAGGGCAGUUCACCAGUUGAAAAAUAUUUUGGAUUGGGUUCUUGUAUCAUCUGAAGUGAAUGGCUAAUCCUGGCGCCGGGAUACAGGUAUGGUUUAAACACUUGAGGUGAAAGCUGUUGGUGGGGAGCAGUGGGACUGUUCACAACAGAACAUCUGCUUUCAUCAGAAUCGUUGGGGUCACCAGCAGCCUUUCUGCAUUAAAGGCUUUCUUGGGUGGUUCAGACAUCCUCAUACCUCUGCUCUGAUACUCGUGUGUUUUACUCUUUCAGAUGUCUACUCGAGAGUGUGGUGCUCUAUUUUUUGCAGAUAAAGGUAAAACAUGUUCCAGUGGGUGGUGGCAGUUGGACCCUGUAUCAAGGCACACAUUUUUAAGCGAAGAAUGGUGCUUUCUCGCCACUUCGUUCCCUGGCAGAGGAGCUGUACGCUUUAGCUGCUGUUCUCUGGUAUGGCCUUGCCAAUGUCGGCAGGGCUCACGUGGCCACCUCCUGCCCGCUGCAUUGGCAGUGGUUGCGGGCUGAGUCACCUGUUUCUGGUGGACACGAGUUGUGCUCAGUGCAAGAUGUAGCAACUGAAAGUCUCUGGCCUGCCUUACAGGAGGUCUGACAAAGUGACCAUAAUAACCCUUUCUGCCCUGGAAAUCUCUGAAUUCCUGGUAGGCCAAGAAAUGACUCUGUACUUACAUAGCUCAGUGUUGCUAAACCUGUCUUAUUUUAAGGCUUGCAAACCAAAUAGAUACCCAAGAGAAGAUGGUACUAAUCACUGCUGUAAUGACAUAUUCAACUCUGGUUUUUAUGGUUGCUGCAAAGCCUAUUUUGGGGAGACUUUUUUUAAGCUCUUUGGGGAAGAACAGACAAGCUUUUGGCAUGCAAUUCUACAUCAAAUCUCUUCAGUUUUGCUAGGCUGUGUUUAUUUGUAAGACCCUGUAUAUUGUAGAGGCCGCUGCCCGUUCCUGACUAUUCCCUAGAAUGAAAACUUGAAACAAUGAUUUUUGUAAUGAAUGUGCAAUAAAUCUGUGGAAAAGAUUCUCUGUUAAUGACUUUUGAUUGAAUUCAGGUAGCUUUGACAUACACGAAUGAGGCUGUUUAGAGCUAGACAGGCCUGCUUGACAGGCAGUGCCUGAUGGUGUAGUGCCUGGAAAUGAAGCCUAAACAAGGACAUUUCAGUGGAAUGCUGGGCCAGAGUACUUCCAGCCCCCACUGGACACCCAGAGCUUCAAGGGCACAGCAUCCGGGUGAGAAUUCUUCAGUGCUGAGGGGCGAGAACAGAUCUGUAGGUGGGGAAGAUAUACCCAAGUGGAGGUGAGCAUGGCCAAAAAGAACGAGCUAAAAAUGAUGUUUUUGGUUUCUCUAUAGGGACAAUCAAGCACUGCAAAAGGCCUCGGUUGUUUUUUUUGUUUUGUCCCUGGAUGAAUGAAUGAAAAGCAUGGGCAUUCUGUAAAAAUGUCUUUUAAUAUUUGAGACUGUAGUGCAUGCUUGGGUAUUUCAGAAAGCCUCACUGUGUAUGGUAAGCGCUAACAGUUCACACACAAGGGAGGCGUAUUUGAUUAUCUUGUGUCACAGACUUCAUGUAGCAACAAGAAUACUUGAUUGUGAGAUCAUCUUUAUGGUUGGAGUGUUUUCAGCUCUGUCUAGCAGCUGUACAGUGAUUAUGCCUUUUGCUAUUUUUGUUUUUCUUUGAAUUUUUGGCUCUUCAGCAGACAGAAGAGUGGAAUUAAUGAUUGCUCUGGAACAGGGAAGUUCCCUAGGCCUCAAAUGGGUACUGGGGGAACCAGUGAUCCAGCUGCCACUGCUGCUUGGUGACGGUGUCACCUCUGAGAAGGAUGGUAUCUAUUUCUAACUGGAGAAUUCUGGGAUGCUGAUGGAUCUUGUGACCAUAAGGGUUUUCUCCUAAGAUCCUGCCUAAGAGGACAGAAACUGUCGUAAGGGCUCACGCCUGGCGGCUGGUUUGGGUCAGGGUUGCUUUGCUGUCUGUCUUGGCAGAGAGCUGGUUUAUAGGGAGUGUGAUGGAGCAGUUAAUGCUGAAAGAGGGCAUUGCUCAAUGCAGGUUACGUGUAGAUG